AGGCGCGCAAAUUACCCAAUCCCGACACGGGGAGGUAGUGGCAAUACAUAACGAUACAGGGCCCUUUCGGGUCUUGUAAUUGGAAUGAGUACAAUGUAAAUACCUUAACGAGGAACAAUUGGAGGGCAAGUCUGGUGCCAGCAGCCGCGGUAAUUCCAGCUCCAAUAGCGUAUAUUAAAGUUGUUGCAGUUAAAAAGCUCGUAGUUGAACUUUGGGCUUGGUUGGCCGGUCCGCCUUUUUGGCGAGUACUGGACCCAACCGAGCCUUUCCUUCUGGCUAACCAUUUGCCCUUGUGGUGUUUGGCGAACCAGGACUUUUACUUUGAAAAAAUUAGAGUGUUCAAAGCAGGCCUUUGCUCGGAUACAUUAGCAUGGAAUAAUAGAAUAGGACGUGCGGUUCUAUUUUGUUGGUUUCUAGGACCGCCGUAAUGAUUAAUAGGGAUAGUCGGGGGCGUCAGUAUUCAGCUGUCAGAGGUGAAAUUCUUGGAUUUGCUGAAGACUAACUACUGCGAAAGCAUUCGCCAAGGAUGUUUUCAUUAAUCAGGGAACGAAAGUUAGGGGAUCGAAGACGAUCAGAUACCGUCGUAGUCUUAACCAUAAACUAUGCCGACUAGGGAUCGGGCGGUGUUUCUAUGAUGACCCGCUCGGCACCUUACGAGAAAUCAAAGUUUUU
rnacentral:rRNA from 1 species